ACUGCUCAGUAACACGUGGCUAAUCUGCCCNUUAGGACGAGAACAACCCCGGGAAACUGGGGCUAAUUCUCGAUAGGCGAAGAACUCUGGAAUGAGUCUUUACCCAAAAGACACCGCGUUAUCCUCGUGGUGUUGCCCAAGGAUGAGGCCGCGACCGAUCAGGUUGUUGGUGAGGUAAUGGCUCACCAAGCCUUUUACCGGUGCGGGCCGUGGGAGCGGGAGCCCGGAGAUGGGCACUGAGACAAGGGCCCAGGCCCUACGGGGCGCAGCAGUCGCGAAAACUUUGCAAUAAGCGAAAGCUUGACAGGGCUAUCCCGAGUGCCAUCCGCUGAGGAAGGCUUUUACCCAGUCUAGAACGCUGGGGGAAUAAAGAGAGGGCAAGUCUGGUGUCAGCCGCCGCGGUAAUACCAGCUCUCCGAGUGGUGUGGAUGUUUAUUGGGCCUAAAGCAUCCGUAGCUGGCUAGGUAAGUCCCUUGUUAAAUCCACCGAAUUAAUCGUUGGAUUGCGGGGGAUACUGCUUGGCUAGGGGACGAGAGAGGCAGACGGUAUUUUCGGGGUAGGGGUGAAAUCCUAUAAUCCCGGGAAGACCACCAGUGGCGAAGGCUGUCUGCUAGAACGCGCCCGACGGUGAGGGAUGAAAGCUGGGGGAGCGAACCGGAUUAGAUACCCGGGUAGUCCCAGCUGUAAACGAUGCAGACUAGGUGUUUGGACGGCCACGUGCCGUUCUAGUGCCGCAGGGAAGCUGUUAAGUCUGCCGCCUGGGGAGUACGAUCGCAAGAUUGAAACUUAAAGGAAUUGGCGGGGGAGCAC
rnacentral:rRNA from 1 species